rnacentral:rRNA from 1 species
AUCGGAAUUACUGGGCGUAAAGCGUGCGUAGGCGGUUCGUUAAGUCAGAUGUGAAAGCCCCUGGGCUCAACCUGGGAACUGCAUUUGAAACUGGCGGACUAGAGUUUAGUAGAGGGGAGUGGAAUUUCAGGUGUAGCGGUGAAAUGCGUAGAUAUCUGAAGGAACACCAGUGGCGAAGGCGACUCCCUGGACUAGAACUGACGCUGAGGUACGAAAGCGUGGGUAGCAAACAGGAUUAGAUACCCUGGUAGUCCACGCCGUAAACGAUGUCAACUAGCCGUUGGUCCUAUUUACAGGAUUAGUGGCGCAGCUAACGCAUUAAGUUGACCGCCUGGGGAGUACGGCCGCAAGGUUAAAACUCAAAUGAAUUGACGGGGGCCCGCACAAGCGGUGGAGCAUGUGGUUUAAUUCGAUGCAACGCGAAGAACCUUACCUACCCUUGACAUCCAUAGAAUC